rnacentral:tRNA from 1 species
GGCGGCGUAGCUCAGUUGGUAGAGCACGGGAUUCAUAAACCCGCGGUCGUUGGUUCGAGCCCAACCGUCGCCA